rnacentral:rRNA from 1 species
UACGUAGGGGGCAAGCGUUAUCCGGAUUUACUGGGUGUAAAGGGAGCGUAGACGGCAGGGCAAGUCUGGAGUGAAAGCCCGGGGCCCAACCCCGGGAGUGCAUUUGAAACUGCCAUGCUGGAGUGCCGGAGAGGUAAGCGGAAUUCCUAGUGUAGCGGUGAAAUGCUUAGAUAUCACGAAGAACUCCGAUUGCGAAGGCAGCUCACUGGACUGCAACUGACACUGAGGCUCGAAAGUGCGGGUAUCAAACAGG